rnacentral:antisense_RNA from 1 species
ACAGUUUUGGUAUCUGCGGUCUCGUAUACCCAGCUACCACUCCAGUUAGAAGAGGUCGAAGACUUCUAACUGGACGAAUCAACCCGCCAUCAGGCGGGUUUUUUCGU